AGUGGCGGACGGGUGAGUAACGCGUGAGAAUCUACCUUCAGGACGGGGACAACAGCUGGAAACGGCUGCUAAUACCCGAUAUGCCGAAAGGUGAAAAGUUUUUUCGCCUGGAGAGGAGCUCGCGUCCGAUUAGCUAGUUGGUGAGGUAAAAGCUUACCAAGGCGACGAUCGGUAGCUGGUCUGAGAGGAUGAGCAGCCACACUGGAACUGAGACACGGUCCAGACUCCUACGGGAGGCAGCAGUGGGGAAUUUUCCGCAAUGGGCGAAAGCCUGACGGAGCAACGCCGCGUGGGGGAAGAAGGUUUUUGGAUUGUAAACCCCUUUUCUCAAGGAAGAACAAAAUGACGGUACUUGAGGAAUCAGCCUCGGCUAACUCCGUGCCAGCAGCCGCGGUAAUACGGAGGAGGCAAGCGUUAUCCGGAAUUAUUGGGCGUAAAGCGUUCGUAGGCGGCUGUUCAAGUCUGCUGUCAAAGACCGAGGCUCAACCUCGGGUAGGCAGUGGAAACUGGAUAGCUAGAGGUCGGUAGGGGCAGAGGGAAUUCCCAGUGUAGCGGUGAAAUGCGUAUAUAUUGGGAAGAACACCGGUGGCGAAAAGCGCUCUGCUGGGCCGAACCUGACGCUGAGGGACGAAAGCUAGGGGAGCGAAUGGGAUUAGAUACCCC
rnacentral:rRNA from 1 species